rnacentral:rRNA from 1 species
UACGUAGGGUGCGAGCGUUAAUCGGAAUUACUGGGCGUAAAGCGUGCGCAGGCUGCUUCGCAAGUCAGGCGUGAAAUCCCCGGGCUUAACCUGGGAAUGGCGUCUGAAACUACGGAGCUAGAGUGUGGCAGAGGGAGGUAGAAUUCCACGUGUAGCGGUGAAAUGCGUAGAUAUGUGGAGGAAUACCGAUGGCGAAGGCAGCCUCCUGGGCCAACACUGACGCUCAUGCACGAAAGCGUGGGGAGCAAACAGG